CCAUGUCUGCUCUCUCCAGGGCCAGUUUCUCUGCUUUGCAGGAGGGGAGACCCAGCCAGGAAGUGCUCCCAUCACCCCCCCCCCCCACCUGGCCCAGCAGGGGGCCGAGCCACCUCCACCAGGCAGAACAGUCUGGCAAGGUGAGAACCUAAGAAUGGAGGCCGGAUACAGCAGGCGGCUGGCUAAUGCCUGGCUGAGGCCCCUGCAGGGGAACUGAGCCAAGCAGAGCUGCCCAGAACUGGCCUCCUGCUGGGCUCUGCUGGCUUGCCUGCUCUUUCCCACCAGGAGGACCCACAGAGCCCCCACCGGCCCUGGCCGCAGCCCACCACCCAUCGUGCCCAUAGCCAGGCCCUCCUCCCUCCGCUUUUGGCUUUUGUCCCAGCACCUGCCCAGCCCUACCUGUCGGGAGCACCACCAGAUUUCAGCUACAUCUCUGGCUUCUGGAAGAUGACUUUUGGAUCCCAACAGGUUUAGCUGAUGACCCCUGGGCUUCCAGAAAUCACAUGUACUAGUCAGAGUCGAAAUAAGGGGAUGACUUUACCAAGACCUGCAAAUUCCAUGAGGAAAAACUACUGCCUGUCAAUCAGCUGCUUUGACAGAAUUUGCUAAGAGAAUAAUUCCGAAUGGCCUGGGGAGUCGGAGCUGGUAGACACUGUUACAUGUAUGUGACCAAAGGAUUCUGCAAUUAGUUCAAUUUUUAACUCUACAACAGGUUGAUGAGGCUAUUCAGAUGGUGUUGUAAUAGUAUCAUUAAAGGUAUUCAAAGUAAAA